rnacentral:lncRNA from 1 species
CGAGUUUCAAUCUGAAUUUUUACCUAAAUAAACUCUAUACUUAACCAAUUUCCCUCAAAACUGAGAUGUAAACUCCAAAGGAUAUUCUCAAUCACUUGCAAGAACACCUAAUCCAAAAUAUCGAAUUCAAAGCUUCAAAACUUUUUAAUUUAAUAUUUAGCAGCCAUAUUAAUUUAAAUUAAUCAACUGCUUAUUUUUCUCAUUAAUCAAAUAUAGUACAGUAAACCUUAUAUGUGUUGAUGAGUGCUAAACAUUAUGUAUAAUUUUCGUCCUAGGAAGUGGAGAGACAGCCAUUAAGUAAAAAGCCACGUGAAUUGGAAAUCAAAUUUGCAUGGUAGAAGAGGGAGAUAGGAUAUGAGAGGGGGAAAAAAAGGAUAUAACUGAAUACCUUAAUUGACGGCAUUAAUAAUGGGGUGAGUGAAUUUUAAGGGCGAUUAUAUAAAUUAUUAAAACAAUUAAGGUAUUUAUUGAAAACUGAAAAACUUUGAGAAAAAUGAUAAAUAAGUCCUUAUUAUAGUAUAUAUAUGAAAAACUUCCCAAUAGGAAUUACUGGAAAAAUUAUUUCAAAACUAUGUUCGGAAAUUGUUGAACUUUUAAUAAGACACCUAUUUAAAGGUGACAUGUCUCCUCUUUAUACGUUCGUGGGACCCACAUGACCACUAACUAAUUUUUUUUUUUUGCCAUUUAACUAAUUCAGGCUAUUUGUGGGCUUGUGGCUUUUACCCAGAGAUAGUGGACUUGGGCCUGACGUUAAAGUCGGAUCGUUGACACAUCAGAGCAGAAAGCCCAAUAUUUAGUGGGUUGAGCUAUCACAUUAUAGCCUUUGCCCAACUUCAUCGAAACCCUACUAUAAACUUUCUAGGGUUUUAAUGUGCUCUAUUCUGAUACAGCAGCAGCAACAGAUAGCUGACAACAACAAAGAUACUUCUCCGCCAAAGGUGAACAACUCCCUCCUUAUUUUCUCCCUAUCGUUAUAUGCAAACACUAAAAUCAUGAGAAAUGUAUUAUUUUAACUAUUAGAUUUAGCGCAGCAGGUGAAUAAUUGGAGCAGAGAAGAAGAAAUAGAUGCAGGUGAAGUAGCCGCUCCGGUGGAUGCAAGCGCAGAGAAUAAAAUUCACAACGAUGUUAUGCUUUUCAAUCGCUGGACCUACGACGAUGUUCGGGUAUCUUCCAUUUCUCUUCAUUCCUUUUAAAUAACUCAUUUUUUUCAUGGUGACAUAUUUAUUGAUGCUAAAAACUCCUUCCUUUUCCUAGAAUCAGCUAAAUGUAAUGUACUAUUUUUUAAAUUUUAUUUAUACAAGGAAAAUUACAACGUAUAGCACCUGAGUAUCUAAAGUUUUAGCUUUUAAUAAAUCAAACCAAUCUAGUUGAUGUAGCUUGAUAAAUAACUGAUUACUUCAACUCAACUAAUAAUACUAAUGAGCCAGAUGCGAGGCCAACAACAAUUAUACUAUGUUGCUCCAUUUAGCACUAGAUGUUUUCUGCAUAAUUUCUGCUUGUAUAUAGAUAUCUCUAACAAGACUGGAAGAUUCGUCGUAAAUAUUGGUGUCACUUACCUAUGUACAUCUUUCUCUUCCACUUUGCCAUAUAUUGUUUAAUCUUCACUAAUCCAUGAGAUUGUAAGUCUUUUCGGACAGCGCACUUCCAUGUGAUUUUAGGUUUACUCGUCCACUUUUAGAUGACGUUCAAUCAGCAAGGUUUCACUCCUAUUGACUGUUACCAGAUAGACAAAUAAGCUAACUCUCGGGUGAGGGGGGAGAUUAGGAGGGCAAUAUUAUGUGCUUUACUGUUUAGUUUCUUAUUCCAUGAAAUAGAAGAAGGAAAAGUAAGUAGGUGUUGCUAUUCAGUAAAAGUGAGUAAUUCUUUCUCAACAACAUUCUGGAAGUGGAGAACAUUGUGUUAGAGUUAUAAAUUUAAAAACCAACACAUACACUGGAGACAAAUAGAAAAUGAAGAGGGUUUACUAAUACCAAGGUGAUUGUUACUUCUGUUUCUACCUUUUUUAUGUGAGUAUUAUUCUUAAGUUCUUGUAUUGGAGAGGCUAGAACUUAUCUUGAAUAUACAAUUUGAAAGAUUUCUCUGUAACUAUGAUCUCACUUUUUGGUGAAGAUCAAUGUCAUAUCUGUUGAGGAUUACAUCACAGCAACUACUUCUAAGCAUCCAGUUUAUAUGCCACACACAGCUGGUAGAUACCAGGAUAAGCGUUUCAGGAAGGCCCAGUGCCCAAUUGUUGAGAGGCUCACUAACUCUCUUAUGAUGCAUGAACGGAACAACGGGAAGAAGCUAAUGGUUGUAUGCAUCAUCAAGCAUGCAAUGGAGAUCAUUCAUUUGUUGACUGACUAGAACCCAAUUCAAGUCAUUGUUGAUGUUAUCAUCAACAGGUGCAGGUGCGCACUAAUGAUCAGUGCUUAAUUAAUCCAAAUAUUCUUUAAUCUUUAUUUUAUUUCAACUGGGGUAACAAUGGACCAAUCUUAGUAUCAAAUGUUGUUUCAAUAUUUGCAGAUAUUGGUUUGCUCAUCUAUAUUUGCAAAUACUGAACAUUGAGUAUCCAAAAUGCUGGUGGAUCAUUUGAAAUGCUAGUUUGACAAGUAUAUCUCAAAUAAAAUAAUAAUUUUUUCUCACAUAUCUUCAAUUUUUCAAAUAUUUUUGUCUAAGUGGAGUUCAUGCCUACCAUAUAUGUCUCAUUUAUAGCUUUGUCUUCUGCAUUUGAUCAUCUAGUGGGCCAAGGGAAGAUGCAACUCGUAUUGGUUCGGCUGGUGUUGUGAGGCGUCAGGCUGUUGAUAUUUCUCCACUUCGCCGUAUUAACCAGGUAAUUUAUUUGCUGAUAACUGGUGCACGUGAGAGUGCUUUCCGGAACAUCAAGACCAUAGUUGAGUGCCUUGCAGAUGAACUCAUCAAUGCUGCCAAGGGUUCUUCAAAUAGGUAAAAUGCUUGAGAUUUUGAGUGUUCUCUGAUCUUAGAAAAUUAUAGAUAUAUUCCAAAUGUACUGCUUCGUUGUAAAAUUGUAUAAACUAGAUUGGUGAACCUUUUUUUUCAAAUCAAUUUUUUUGGAUAUGUGCGACUUUAUUGCUUACGGCUAUUGAUGAUUUUUGUUUCCGCAGCUAUGCCAUUAAGAAGAAGGAUGAGAUUGAAAGAGUUUCUAAGGCCAACCAUUGAGAGGUCAAUGGAUCAGUAUUUACAAUAUAGUUUUGGGUUAUGAUGUUUUCUCAUUUCUAUUUUCGUUUAGCACUAUAGCUUGUCAUGGAAAUGAAAGUGGAUCUGAGUAGCGCUACAGCUGUCAGGGAGUGUGAGGUACUUGCCUUUGGGAUCCCACUAGGUGCAGAGUUUCCAAAGUCAAGUCCUCUUCUGUUGCUACUAUGAUGUACUUGUAGCCAUGAAAGUGCAUCAGAGGACCUGUUCCAUUUACAAGUUAUGUCUAGCUCAUGCUUGACCUUGUUCAGAUCCUCUGUUAGGACUUUCACAUGUUCAUCCCUCUUAUAUAGCUCAUCUUUUACCUUUCCUAAAUCCUUUUCUAAUGUGAGUUAUGUGACACUAGCUAUUUCUUUACCUAUUCCUAACUUCAAUUUCAGAUUAUCAUAUCUAAGUUCUAAGAUAGUUGUGUCAAGUGCAUGAACCUGGUUCUUCAAAAUAGUAUUUUUAUUUUCAGUUUCACAAGCCCUAAGUUCUAGGUUUUUGCACUUUGCUUUCAAAAUGACACACUCAUUUGACAACUGUUCUUUUUCACAACUUAUAUUCUUAGAUUCAUCAAUUAAUGUUAGCAACAAUUCUGAUAAUCUAUCUUUAGAAAGAAACUUAAUUUUAUCCUUUAGGUCUAGAAAACUUAUCUCGGGUUCUUCUUCAUAUUCUUGAAUUGCUAUAAGAGCUCGUUCAUCAUCAUCAUCAUCAUCAAUGUCCUCAUCUAAAUUAUCUUCCUCAGCAGCAACCAUUGCUUUAUAUGGCCCUUUGUUGUAUUUCUUCUUAUCAUGAACUUGUUCCUUCUUUCUGUUUCUUCUUUUAUAUCUCUCCAUUUUCCACUCAACUUCCCACAUAGGACAGCUCUUGAUCAUAUGGUUCUUUUUACCAUAUUUGAAGCAUCCAUCAGUCACCUCCAAGUGAUCUCUUCUCAUCUCCUUCCACAAUAAAUACUAGUGAUCAUUGGAUAGUGGUGGCCUAGUGGUGGGCUCACAAUGUCAUGAAAAUCAGCCCAACAUGAUGAUGUGAUGUAUCAAUAAAUGGUAUCAAAGAUUGAGAUAUGUUAUGCAAAGGAAUGUGUAUGACUGAGUAUGUAAUUGCAAUGUAAACAAAUAACUCAACAGCAGGGAUGACCUCAGUGGGUCCCAACAGGAUAAGCAUAUAGCCUAGACAUGGUUUCUAUCAUGGAUCACAACCCAAUUACUAUAGCAAGUAGAGAUUUCAUAGAUACAAAUAAGAUUAGGUAACUACAUAAUACCACAGAAAUAACCGAGUCACAAUUCACACAGUGCACACACAUACGCUCGUCACCUAGCAUGUGUAUCACCUCAACACCAAACACAUAUCAUGUAUCUUCAGGGGUUCAUACCCUCAACACCAAGUUUAGAAAUGUUACUUACCUCAAAAAAACCAAAUCCAACACCGAGAAAGCCAAACGAUGCCCCAAAAAUGCCAUCCCGCGCGUACCGACCUCUGAACGGCUCGAAACUAGUCAAAGCAACUCGAAUACAUAAAAUAAUGCCUAAGGAAACAAUUCCAAAUGAUAAAGGUCGAAUCAUUAAUCAAAACUCCAAAGUCAACCAAAAAGUCAAACCUAAGCAUGCACAUCGGAACCCAACAAAACUCACAAAAUCCAUCAACCCAUUUAAUUACGAGUCCAAGCAUACCAGUUUCACUCAAAUUCGACUCUGAAUCGAUAUUCAAAACUCAAGAAUUCACUCUAUGAAACUUUAGUCAAAACCUCCCAACUUUCUCUUUUGAAAUCAUCAACCAAAUGCUAAAAAUAAAGAUAGAUUCAUGAAAUAUAAAUAAAACCGAGUAGAGAACACUUACCCCAAUCCAUAUGGUGAAAAUCGCUUCAAUCCGAGCUCCAUAGCUCCAAAUAUGCAAAAAGGGCCGAAACCUCCGAAAUAGAGUAAUAUAUAAUCACAGGGCAAAUUAAUGAACCGCAAUCCCGGAACAACCUUCACAAUCGUGAUGAAUAACCUACACUGCCUCCACGAAUAUGCUACGCAAUCGCGAACCUGGUCAUGCGAACGCGAAUCACACAGGCGCCCACACUCCGCGACCGUGUUCCCUAAUACGUGAACGCUAUGAAGAAGCUCUCAGCUCAGCCCUAUGCAAACGCGAUGCCCAAUCUCCAGAAACAAACGCGAAAAUCUACUCGCCAACGCGAAGAAAGAACUACUCAACUCCAGAUUUUUCAUCUACGCGAUCACACCUCUAACUUCGCGAUCGCAAAGAAAACUUGGUGCACCUAACACCAGUAGGAACCAGCAAGGCCAAAUUGAAAGAAAAUGAUCUGAAAUACAUCUACAACUCACCCGAGCCCCUCGGGACCCUGUCCGAAUAUACCAACAAGUCCCAUAACCUAACACGGACCUACUUAAGGUCUCAAAUCACGCAUAACAAUAUCGAAAUGACGAAUCACACUUCAAAUCAAACCUAAAUGAACUUUGAACUUUCAACUUCCAAAAACUCGCGUCGAAACAUAUCAAAUCAACCCGAAAUGAACUCAAAUUUUGCACACAAGUCCCAAAUGACAUGGUGAAGCUAUUCUAAUUCCCGAAAUCAUAAUCCGAAUCUGAUAUCCUCAAAGCCAACUCUCGGUUAAACUUAUGAACUUUCCAAGCCUUCAAAUUUCUAACUUUCGCCAAUUAGCGCCGAAACUUUCUAAACUUAUCAAAAUGCAAAUCCGAGCAUACACCCAAGUCCAAAAUCACCAUCCGGACCUAACUAACCAUCAAAACUCCAUUCCGGGGUCAAAUACAUAAAAGUUAAACUUGAUCAACUCUUCCAACUUAAAGCUUCAAACAUGAAAUUCUUUCUUCCAAAUCACUUUUGAGUAACCUGAAAAUCAAAAUCGACGAUUCAUACAGUCAUAAUACAUUAUACGGCUCAUGCCCUCAAACUAUCGAGCGAAGGGAAAAAUGCUCAAAAUGACCUGUCGGGUCGUUACUACUAUAAUUAUAAUAUAAUAUUAUAUCAGAUUUUUAGUUUAGAGUUGUGAUUAAAAUUUGAAGAAGAUGAAGAUCAUAAUUAUAUCAUAAUUUUUCAGAAAUGUAUCGCGGUUUGUAUCACAAAUGUAUGAUAAUUGUAUUAGUAUUGUAUCAUUUAUCAUUUUAGGUAUUAAUGUAUCAGAUACUCAUACAAGUUAGAUACAAUUGUGAUACAAGUAUGAUAUAUUUAUGAUACAAUUAAGUUUAAGGUAUUGAUGUAUAAGAUACAAUUAUAAUACAGUUAUCAUAAAAUUUUCUGCAACUUCUUCUUCGAGUUUCAAUCUGAAUUUUUACCUAAACAAACUCUAUACUUAACCAAUCUCCCUCAAAAUUGAGAUGUAAACUCCAAAGGAUAUUCUCAAUCACUUCCAAAAACACCCUAUCCAAAAUAUCGAAUUCAAAGCUUUAAAAUUUUUUAAUUUAAUGUUUAGCAGCCAUAUUAAUUUAAAUUAAUCAACUACUUAUUUUUCUCAUUAAUGAAAUAUAGUACAGUAAACCUUAUAUGUGUUGAUGAGUGCUAAACAUUAUGUAUAAUUUUCGUCGUAGGAAGUGGAGAGACUACCAUUAAGUGAAAAGCCACAUGAAUUGGCAAUCAAAUUUGCAUGGUAGAAGAGGGAGAUAGGAGAUGAGAAAAUAAAAAAGAAAGGAUAUAACUGAAUACCUUAAUUGAACGAAUUAAUAAUGGGGUGAGUGACUUUUAAGGACGAUUAUAUAAAUUAUUAAAACAAUUAAGGUAUUUAUUGAAAUCUGAAAAACUUUGAGAAAAAUGGUAAAUAAGUCCUUAUUAUAGUAUAUAUAUGAAAAUAUUCCCAAUAGGAAUUACUGAAAAAAUUAUUUCAAAGCUAUGUUCGGAAAUUGUUGAACUUUUAAUAAGGCACCUAUUUAAAGCUGACAUGUCUCCUCUUUAUACGUUCGUGGGACCCACGGGAUCACUAACUAAUAUUUAUUGCCAUUUAACUAAUUCAGGCUAUUUCUGGGCUUGUGGCUUUUACCCAGAGAUAGUGAACUUGGGCCUGGCGAUAAAGUCGGAUCGUAGACACAGCAGAGCAGAAAGCCCAAUAUUUAGUGGGUUGAGCUAUCGCAUUUUAGCCUUUGCCCAACUUCAUUGAAACACUACUAUAAAUUUUCUAGGGAUUUAACGCACUCCAUUCUCUGAUACAGCAGUAGCAACAGACAACAGCAAAGACACUUCGACGCCGAAG